rnacentral:rRNA from 1 species
CACCCAUCAACGCCCGGGUACUACGAGCCCCAGCUUAAAACCCAAAGGACUUGACGGUGUCCCAUCCACCUAGAGGAGCCUGUUCUAUAAUCGAUAAUCCCCGCUAAACCCAACCCCCUCUUGCAAUCAGCCUGUAUACCUCCGUCGUAAGCUUACCAUAUGAAUGACCCCAGUAAGCUAAAUGAUUAUAACACCCCAAUACGUCAGGUCAAGGUGCAGCUCAUGAAAAGGCAAGCAAUGGGCUACAAUUUCUAAUCUAAAACAAACGAAACACUGCAUGAAACUCAGCUGUGAAGGCGGAUUUAGUAGUAAAAAGAAAAUAGCG